rnacentral:misc_RNA from 1 species
GAUGAAGAACGUAGCGAAAUGCGAUAAGUAAUGUGAAUUGCAGAAUUCAGUGAAUCAUCGAAUCUUUGAACGCACAUUGCGCCCGCCAGUAUUCUGGCGGGCAUGCCUGUCUGAGCGUCAUUUCAACCCUCAUGCCCCUAGGGCGUGGUGUUGGGGAUCGGCCAAAGCCCGCGAGGGACGGCCGGCCCCUAAAUCUAGUGGCGGACCCGUCGUGGCCUCCUCUGCGAAGUAGUGAUAUUCCGCAUCGGAGAGCGAUGAGCCCCUGCCGUUAAACCCCCAACUUUCCAAGGUUGACCUCCGAUCAGGUAGGAAUACCCGCUGAACUUAAGCAUAUCAAUAAGCGGAGGA